GACGAACGCUGGCGGCGUGCUUAACACAUGCAAGUCGAACGGAAAGACCCUGCUUUUGUGGGGUGCUCGAGUGGCGAACGGGUGAGUAACACGUGAGUAACCUGCCCUUGACUUUGGGAUAACUUCAGGAAACUGGGGCUAAUACCGGAUAGGAGCUCCUGCUGCAUGGUGGGGGUUGGUAAGUUUCGGCGGUUGGGGAUGGACUCGCGGCUUAUCAGCUUGUUGGUGGGGUAGUGGCUUACCAAGGCUUUGACGGGUAGCCGGCCUGAGAGGGUGACCGGCCACAUUGGGACUGAGAUACGGCCCAGACUCCUACGGGAGGCAGCAGUGGGGAAUAUUGCACAAUGGGCGGAAGCCUGAUGCAGCAACGCCGCGUGCGGGAUGACGGCCUUCGGGUUGUAAACCGCUUUCGCCUGUGACGAAGCGUGAGUGACGGUAAUGGGUAAAGAAGCACCGGCUAACUACGUG
rnacentral:rRNA from 1 species